rnacentral:misc_RNA from 1 species
UUUUUUUUUUUAUUUUUUUGUUUUUUUUUUUUUUUGAGACAUGCAAUUUCUUUUUAGAUGUCUGAAGGUGUAUAUUAAAAAUUAUCUUUUAGAGUGUGCAUUAACAUUUUAACACAUAUGUUAUAUUGAAUACCUGCACUAUUUGGUACAAUUGAAGUUCUUGUUUAGAAAUCAUUGUGAAUUGAGGAACUUUAUUGUUGUAUCAAAAUCAGGCCAGACCACAAUUUGCAAGA